CCAGCCCGCCCGCCGAAGCCUCGGCCUCCACCCCCCGGACAGCGCUCGCGGCCCGGCCGGGGGCUGCUUGGAGCUGGACGACCCGGCCUACGGACUCUGCCCUCGGCCUGUCCCCGGCAGGCCAGAGCCGGCGGCCAGGACCCCCCCAGCCAGCAGGCCUGGUCGCACCCCACCGGCACCCGAGCCUCCCCAGGCCGAGAAUCUCUACGAGAGGGUCCCAGAGGAGUACCUGAGACCACCGCCCUUUGCACCGAGCAGAGCGACAUCCAAGAGGGGCCUUUGAUUGCUUCGUAGAGGUGGACACAUUCCUGCCAUCCCUGCCAGGUUGAGCCCGCUCACCCUGUCCCCGGGGGAAUGGCUGGGGGGGGCCAGAGGUCGUGGAUCAUCGUGCGGCGGAGUUCGUGGGUCUCUCACGGAAAGCUGAGCGGCCAGGAGACGCUGCUGCUGCAGUGAGGAACGCCUCGCUGGGUGACAUUGAGCUAAUGAAUAAAAGUGGUUAAUUUAA